GCUUGCUUGUUGGGGUUGUAGGACACUCUAUACGGAGUUACAAAAGUAUAUAUUAGACGAAUCAUCUGGAAAGUUGAAUCAAAGAAGGUAAUAAUCCUGUAGUCGAAAAUAUAUACUCUCUUGAGUGGAUCCUGAGUACGACGGAGCACGUGAAAUUCCGUCGGAAUCUGGGAGGACCAUCUCCUAAGGCUAAAUACUCUCUAGUGACCGAUAGUGAACCAGUACCGUGAGGGAAAGGUGAAAAGUACCCCGGAAGGGGAGUGAAAGAGAACUUGAAACCGUGUGUUUACAAGUAGUCAGAGCCCGUUAAUGGGUGAUGGCGUGCCUUUUGUAGAAUGAACCGGCGAGUUACGAUUUGAUGCAAGGUUAAGCAGCUAAUGUGGAGCCGUAGCGAAAGCGAGUCUGAAUAGGGCGUUUAGUAUUUGGUCGUAGACCCGAAACCAGGUGAUCUACCCUUGGUCAGGUUGAAGUUCAGGUAACACUGAAUGGAGGACCGAACCGACUUACGUUGAAAAGUGAGCGGAUGAACUGAGGGUAGCGGAGAAAUUCCAAUCGAACUUGGAGAUAGCUGGUUCUCUCCGAAAUAGCUUUAGGGCUAGCCUCAAGUGAUGAUUAUUGGAGGUAGAGCACUGUUUGGACGAGGGGCCCUUCUCGGGUUACCGAAUUCAGACAAACUCCGAAUGCCAAUCAAUUUAACUUGGGAGUCAGAACAUGGGUGAUAAGGUCC
rnacentral:rRNA from 1 species